AUUGAACGCUGGCGGCAGGCCUAACACAUGCAAGUCGAACGGUAGCACAGAGAGCUUGCUCUCGGGUGACGAGUGGCGGACGGGUGAGUAAUGUCUGGGAAACUGCCCGAUGGAGGGGGAUAACUACUGGAAACGGUAGCUAAUACCGCAUAACGUCGCAAGACCAAAGUGGGGGACCUUCGGGCCUCACACCAUCGGAUGUGCCCAGAUGGGAUUAGCUAGUAGGUGGGGUAAUGGCUCACCUAGGCGACGAUCCCUAGCUGGUCUGAGAGGAGGACCAGCAAGACUGGAACUGAGACACGGUCCAGACGCCUACGGGAGGCAGCAGUGGGGAAUAUUGCACAAGGGGCGCAAGCCUGAUGCAGCCAUGCCGCGUGUAUGAAGAAGGCCUUCGGGUUGUAAAGUACUUUCAGCGGGGAGGAAGGCGGUGAAGUUAAUAGCUUCACCGAUUGACGUUACCCGCAGAAGAAGCACCGGCUAACUCCGUGCCAGCAGCCGCCGUAA
rnacentral:rRNA from 1 species